GAAAUUUUAAAAAAUAAAAAAUAAAUAUUAAAAUUUUCAAAAUAAAAAAGUAUAUUUUAGUUAUUUUUCUCCUUAAAAGUUAUUUUUGUGACAAAAGCUUAAAAAUGGUUAUUUGAGAGAAUUACCCAAGAAAAAUUGUUUUUUGUUAAAAAAAUAUUCAAUAGUUUUACUUUGUAUUUAUGCGAUUAGAUUUGUGAAUGUAGUUUAUUGCUGGUUUUUGUUUUGUUGGACUUUAAAAUUAUUAAUUCAACAAGGAGAACUAGUAAUUGAUAUUCAUCCAUUUCAUUUUAAUUGUCGUUUUAGGUUUAUGCACACAGAUUACAAAAAUAUUUAAU
rnacentral:lncRNA from 1 species